rnacentral:lncRNA from 1 species
CAAAGUGAAGAUUCAGUUGCUUUGUAAAGAUGAGUGUAAUUGUGAUAUUCAUGAAUUUGGUAAAAGAGUUUGUAUAUAUGGGAAAUAUCAGCUUCAUUUGCAAGACGAACUCUAGCAUAAACUUUUUCAGUAAUUGUGAGGUUUUUGUUAUUAGUUGUAGCCAUGGUAAGAAGUUUGGUUGUUUUUUGUUUGAAGGAAAAGAAUAUAAAUUUUUUCAGUAAUUGUGAGGUUUUUGUUAUUAGUUGCAGCCAUGGUAAUAAGAUUAGUUCUUUUUUUUUGGUUGAAGGAAAAGUUGAAAUAUUUUAUGAGAAGAAGGAGUUUUGGUUAUGAGAUGAUUGAAGAGGUUUUGGUUAUUUAUAGAGGAAAAUUUGUGUUUUAUUCUUUUAUUUAUUGGUGGGGUUGGUGUAAAAAAAACUAAAGUAUAUAAUAUGGAGCUUAUUCAAGAUGUGUAAUUUAUCAACAUUAUAAUA